GAAGUAAAAGUCGUAACAAGGUCUCCGUUGGUGAACCAGCGGAGGGAUCAUUACAGAGUUCUCGCAACUCCCAACCCUGUGAACCAUACCAAAUUUUGUUGUUGCUUCUGGCAGGCGGCCCCUCGGGCUCCUGCCAGCGGCGGCCUGUUCCAACCUUCUUUUGUAUCUUACCGUCUGAGCUUCUAAAAAAUAAAUCAAAACUUUCAACAACGGAUCUCUUGGCUCUGGCAUCGAUGAAGAACGCAGCGAAAUGCGAUAAGUAAUGUGAAUUGCAGAAUUCAGUGAAUCAUCGAAUCUUUGAACGCACAUUGCGCCUGCUAGCAUUCUGGCAGGCAUGCCUGUCCGAGCGUCAUUUCCACCCUCACGCUCCGCGUGGUGUUGAGGCUCUCUCGCAACGAGAGGCCCCGAAAGCGAGUGGCGGGCCGCCUGGUUGGCUCCGAGCGCAGUAGAAACGCAUGUUUUUUUCCCGCUCUGGACGCUGCCGGCGGUGCCCUGCCGUCAAAACGCACCAUGACGUGCAACUUUCUCAACAAG
rnacentral:rRNA from 1 species